rnacentral:lncRNA from 1 species
GCCCACGCCCGGCCGCCCGCCCGUCCUCUGCGCCGGGGACAAGUCCUUCCACCGAGGCCGGGUCCCCGCGCCUUCCCUAGCGCCCUGCCUCUCUUUGGCCGCGCUCGCAGGACCGCCUGUAGGAGAGUGAAGCCCCAGGGUUUCCUUGCUGAUGGAGUCCCCCACCUUCCCCAGCCUUCCUGUUCCCGGGCUGGUUACGGCGGCGAAGGGAGACCUUGCCUCUCCCCAGCCUUGGAAGCAGAGGGCUGGAGGUGGCCUUAUGUCCACUGCCUGCGACUCUGGACUUGAAGGGAAGAAGUAAUCGAUCAUGAUGACCGUGAAAGAAACACGUCUCCCUUCAUCCCAGGACCCCUGGUGGACACUGGGUGGUUUAGCAUCCGGACUAUGGAGAUGCUUUGGAGGUGUUGGCAGGACUACGGUUGAGCCCUUAUUUGAUAUUUACCGAUUGAGAAAGAACCAAGAUUAAGAGGCCUGGAACUCAUCAGGGGUAUUUUAUUUAUCCUGCCUUUUCCUCAUUUCCUCUCCUGCUGUCAUGCUUGUUUAUUGAGCACCUACUGUUUAUGGGAAGAAAAGAUAAUAGACAAGAUACUUGACCUCAAACCCAUGAAAAUUUAAUAGUUACAUGUCAUCAUCCUCGGGCCAGCAGCGGUAUGUGUUCUGGUCUUGCUUCCUGGACCACCCAGAAGAGACUUUAUAGCCCCAGCCAUCAGGGGUAUAGUGUGUGCCCAGUGUGUUUUCUAUCCCUGGCUUCCAAAAAGUCCUGGAAGAAAGAAUAGGUGUGACCAGAAAGUCCUUCACCUCCGGAAUCUAAGUGGAUAUGGUAACUAUUAUAAACUUGUGUCCUCCGUCUCUUUUGUGAUAUGGUCCCAAUUCCAUGCCUCACCCUUAGUUCACCAUUUCUGUUCAUAGUGAUGUGUCAUAAUCAUUUUCUGCAUCUGAUCCCAGAUACCCCCUCCUGGGGCAAUCUGAGAAUCCUCAAUUCUGGGAGAACUCACGCUAUUGAUAACAAACUUUGUGCAAACACGGGGGCAUAGCCCACUACAGCCCAGAAGUCCCAAUUCCAGUUCCCACCUCGUGCCUUCCCUGGCUGUCACCUGACGCAGGGACUGGCAGGCAUUGUCUCCUCCUUCUGCCACUGUGAGGGAUUUUUUAAAGAGCAACCCAGGAGCACUUGACCCAGCAGACCCCCUAAUGAUAAUAUUAAUGCUUAUGGAGUGUUUUUUUCAGUGUAUCAGGAAACUAUCUAGAACUAAUGUCCCUAUUUUAUAGUUAAGGAAAACGGGCUGACUUUUGCCCAGGACUUCACAAAAAGUGAAAAAGUAGAGCCAGGAUUCCAACCUAGGUCUCUCCAAUACCAAUGCUCAUUCUUAACCACUCUGACGGCCUUCCUACUCAUAAAUAAGUAGAGAUACUCUAGAGUCUACAGGGCACCCAUUUGCAGGGAAAACUUCAAUUUAGCAGGACCUAAAGAAAAUGUGGGAAUUGUGGUACCCAAAGGACAAAUCAAACCUAGGUAUCAUCCUCUCUUCCCUUUCAGUCAGCCGUUCUGGUGCCCAGUUCCUCUGGGCCCUGAGAGGUAAAGGUUUGUAGUGGCACAGACAGUGCAAGAGGCUCCCAGCAGUAGGUUGUCUGCAUCUGGAGUGAGAUGGAGUGGGAGGGAAGAUGGGAGAGCACCCUUUCCCCUCCUAUUGACCACGUUAGUUGCACUUUUGUUUGCCAAUGUGUUGUCUCCUUUAAUCCUUAUAGCAAAGACCAUUUUACAGAUGAGGAAAAAGAAUCUCAGCAGCUUUAAGGGAAUGAGUUCAAAGUCAUCACACAGCUAAGACAAUACAAGAUUCAUAUUCAUAAGUUGACUGCAAAGUCAACUUUUUCCAUAGACAAUGCAGAGAAAGGAAGUAUUUGAACUAUCUCAGAAUGGAAGUGCCACCUCCAGAAUAAAUACCAGAGCACUCUUUGACCUCUGACACUGUAGACUGUUUUCAGGGGAAUUGUAGAAUUUACACUGUGAUAACUCAUGCUCUAAUUCAGAACCCUAGGCCUUUGGGAGAAUGAGGGUGAGCAGAGACAUAGAAGGACUUCCAGGGCAGCCUUCAGCCUCUCCUCUGACCUCAAACUUUGUGCCCCACUCAGUUAAGAAGAGUCACCCUCUGAAGAAGGCAGGCUAGUGAUCAUUUACUGCUGCUUGGCUGUCUCUACCCCACCUCAAGUUGCUUAUCAAAGCAACCCCCACCCACAUAUGGUCUCCAAGAGAGGAUUUCUGGUAAAUGCACAAGGAUGCCCACCCAAGGGGCGAAGUGGGGACUGAAAUCCAUCUCACUCUCCACUUGCCACACUGCAGACAGGUGCUGGCACAUUCACCUGGAGGAAGGGGUGUCUUAUUCUCAAGGGACUGCACCUUCCUGGGUAAAGGAUAUUUUUCUAAUUCACACAAGGGUGCUGUCUUGUUAGCACCCCUUAGAGAUGGAUGCUUUGAGUGCUGCCUGGAUAAUCCACCUUUUAAUUUGACUCUGGUUUCCAGGUAGCUAGCUAACAUACUGACUAAUUGGUGGAGUGCAGUCAUUUCACACUAUGUUUCCCCAAAGAUUUAUGUUGCUUUUUCCAGUGUGACUUUUAAUGGAAAUUCUUAUGUAUUCUUGUAUAUCUAAUCUUUGCAAGGCAUCAUGAAGUGUGAAAUAGCACCUAGGAUAAGAGUAAGAUUCUCUUUCAGGCUCUGUCACUAACUGGUUUCCUAACUUUGAAUGAGUCCAUCAUAUCAUCAAUAUUUUUAUUUAGAAAUUGAGACAGUUGGGUUAGGUGGUUUCAAAAGAAUCUAAGAUUCUUUAAUUCUGAGUGGGAACAGGAGAUACAGGAACCUCAAAACUAACUCUGAAUUAAGAAUAAGAUUAUCCUGAGGGAGAAUUGUCCAAACGUUAUGGACAGAUGCAGGUAAGAUUGGGCAGUAAUUGUCUGUCUACUGAAAAGACUUUCUCCAUAAUUUUCUUCUGUUUUCAAACCAUUCACAAGAGAAGAUUUGGCUCUAGGGACUAUUGUUGGGCCUGUAGUCCAUACUAAAUGCAUGGAUCUGACCUUUUCAGGAGCUAUAACUGUUCCCUUCUAAUACCCUUCUCUCAACAUGGGCAUAUGGUUAAAAGGAGAUGUGAAGUGUCUGGAAUUACAGCUGUGAAAUCUAGGUCUCCACCUCAUUCUUCCCCUUCUCAGUUUAAUGCUUGGCUGAAUUAAGCACUAAUAUGAGAGGAUAGGGCUGAGUUCAAUCCAGAUUAAAAAUGUGGGCAGAGAAAGUAAAUCAAGAAUGAAUCUGAAGUAUUUUUCUACUUCAGUUCAUGGAACUUAUUUAAAGCAUUUCUAAUGAAGUUCCUAAGAUAGGAAUGUUUUUAAAUC